GGUUAAGUUACUAAGAGCCAACGGUGGAUGCCUUGGCGCCAGAAGCCUAAGAAGGACGUGACAAGCUGCGAAAAGCCGCGGGGAGGGGCAAAUACCCAUUGAGCCGCGGAUAUCCGAAUGGGGCAACCUUCAUCAGUGCAGCUGAUGAGACUUAAGAUGAAUACAUAGUCUUAAGUAGGGAUACCAGGGGAACUGAAACAUCUUAGUACCCUGAGGAAAAGAAAGAAAUCUCGAUUCUCCAAGUAGUGGCGAGCGAAAGGGGAAGAGCCUAAACCGAUACGGCGUGAUAGCCUGCAGGCGUUUCCGUAUUGGGGUCGUGGGACCCGCAAGUUGCCGUUGCAGAGGCAGCAUGAAGUUACAAAGUACAACUAUAAUUGAACAGUCUGGAAAGAUUGGCCAUAGACGGUGAAAGCCCGGUAAGUGAAAUGGUUGUGCCUUCAAGCGAAGUCCCGAGUACUGCGGAACCCGAGAAAUUCCGUGGGAAUCUGCGUCGACCAUGACGUAAGGCUAAAUACUAACUGGCGACCGAUAGCGUAAUAGUACCGUGAGGGAAAGGUGAAAAGUACCCCGAGAGGGGAGUGAAAUAGAACCUGA
rnacentral:rRNA from 1 species